GCUUCCAUGGCGCAGCUGGUAGCGCAACUGAUUCGUAAUCAGUAGGCCAGGGGUUCGAAUCCCCUUGGGAGCU
rfam:Clostridium sp. N3C genome assembly, contig: N3C_contig46